UUUCAGUCACCUGGUACACUUUGUAUUGUAUGCCAGUGAGGUUAUGAAAGCUAAAAGAAGUGUGUGUGGAUGUGUGUAUUUAUUUGUUCUUCAGAAAUGUCCAAGUUUAUACUGAUAUUAACACAAAAACAAAUAAAAUCUUUUACAGUUUAAAGCACACUUUUGCAAUAAUGUUCCAUUACGUUGAAACCAUGUUAGAAAAUUAUUGUCUAUCCUUCAGUACUGGCCUACAAGCCAUGUUAUACUAGUACCAGCUAUUAUUUUUAUUACAUGUGUUUAUUGCAUGUAAAAAUAAAAGUCAUCUAGAAAU
rnacentral:misc_RNA from 1 species